AGAGAUACCCUUAACCCAAGGGAACGGGAAAUCUGCGACAGGCCACGUGCUUCACGGAGCCAGAAUGAGGCGCGUGGUUGAGCGGGAAGCCCAUCUGCCUCUCCUCUUGCCCCUGGUUUCUCUACCCUUUUCGCGUUUCUCCUUCCCUCUGCCCGCUCCUACCACUGUUAGGGUGUUAGGGCUCCGAGUAGUACUGCUACCACGCUCGCCGGCCUCUGUGUCCGAUGGUGCAGAUUUACUGGAUCCCGACGUCAGCCAGGCAGUGGGGAGUCGGCUCAGCUUGCCGUCAGGAACCCCAGAACUAGCCAGGCCAGGCCCAGGCCCCGCCCCGCGCCCCGCGCUCACUUUUGCGUGGUUAACCUCCAGUUCAGUGCCCCACGGGUGGGCUGACUUCAGGUUGUAACUAGACUUGGAAGAAAAGGAACUAGCGUUUGAGAACGUCAGUUACAGGCCAGCGGCUGAAAUAAGCGUUACCCAGAAACAUUACCGGUAAGUGUGGAAGCCAGGCAGUCUGACUCAGAAGUCUCAGAGGUAAUCAGUAAACUACAUAUUACAAAUCAUCAGUCAGUAAGAAAAAGAUGAUCUGAAAAUGACAAACGAUUGGUGACAGGCUUUACAUAUAGUUUCUCACAUAAGUACCAGGUGGAUGAAGAAUGUAAAGAUUGAAAACAUAAAAAUAUUUUUAAAAAUUGAGGUGAAUAUCUUUAUAAUCUUGAAUAGAGAGAGGCUUUUUCAAAGUUUGAAACAAAACAGAAACCAUAAAAGGAAAAAUACAUAAAAAUUAACCAAAUAAAGUUGUAAUUUUCUAUUUACAAAUAAUGAACCAGUGGAAAAUAAAUGCAUGUCAUAUUGAAACAGAAGGAAAAAUACUCCUAAUAUACAAAGACUCCAUAAAAUAUAAAUUUGAAAACUUAACAUCAAAAUAAGCAAUUGGCAAAGGAUAUCAAAGGGACAUUCCUAAAGCAAGAAAACAUCUAGUUAGCAAAUGAAAAGGUGGUCAUCUUCCAAAGAGAUCCUUUUUUUGUCUGUCUGUACAGGGAUAUGGCAAUACAAUUACUGUUGUGCACUACUGGUAUGAAGUUGAAAUUGGUACAACCCUACUUACCAAAAUUAUCGUAAGCACUAACUUCUUCCCCAGUAAUCUCAGAUCAUAGUCAUUUGCUCUAA